GUCUUCUGAAUAAUGUCAUUUUUCGCAAGAAUUUGAAAUCAGAUCACCUUCUUCAUAUGGUGCUUUGAAUCUAUCUUUUUCAUAAUGUUUCGGCCCAAACUAGGACCUUCUCUAAACCAAUUCAGAUAGAUUGUUUGUGAAUUGCAAUAUGUUCUGGGAAAAUAUCAAAAUUCACUUCUAACAGAUAUCGAUAUUUCGGGAGCCAAUUGAUCACUUCCUCAGUGCUUACAAUCUCCUAUGUCCGGUGCUUUCCGUUUCAAUCGAAAAAUUAGAAUGAAACGAUGUCCAAUUAACGGACGAGAACACUUUUAUUCCUAGCGAAACCUUUUACCCUGGGGGCUGUACAGGCUAACCGUUGCCUCCUUGAACAUCGAUCACUGAAUCAAUUCAAUGUUCAUUUGACUAAAAAUAAAUUCUAUCUAAACACUUCCAUUAGAUAAAGAUGUCUCUCUGUCUUAUCUUCAUAUGUACUGUAAGCGCAGUAAGCGUUGCGAAAACUAGUGCAAUAGAAGGGAUGAAAAUACACA